GCGUCCAUAGCUCAAUGGUAGAGCAGAGGCCUCUUAAGCCUAAGGUUGGAGGUUCGAGUCCCCCUGGACGCA
rfam:Parcubacteria bacterium GW2011_GWC2_49_9 TY52_C0014, whole genome shotgun sequence.